UUUUUUCUUCUCACUUUACUAACUAUUCACUUUAAAGAAACCAAAGGGCAUACAUUUACAUAAUCACAUGCGCACAGAGAGGAGAGUCCAUAGUUUUGAACCUAUAUGUAAAACAUAUAUUAUCAUCCAGAUGGUAUAUACAAACAAACGAAUCCAAUGACAUAAAUAUAUUCAAACAAUAAGCCCAGAUGAUAGCAAUGAAUCCAUGUGACCGUUCAAUAUAGUUGAUCGAGGCAGCUCUUCCAGCUUUUCAUCAUCCAAAAGGAAUAUUCUUUUCGCCAUCAUAACGGUUUCCAAGCGAUGCGAAAUCACAAGCACCUAUGAACAUAGGAAGAAUGUUUGAAGUUUCAUAGUGAAGAAAAGGGUAUACCAAUCGAACAAUAGAGUACACAACUAUAAGAAUAUUUACUUAAUCAAAUGGAAUAGUGGUCAUGUAAUUCUCAUAGCUGAUCAUGUCAAAGAAUAGAAAAGGCUAGUUUCCUUACCGUGCGAUUCUCCAUUAAUCGCUCCACAGCUUGCCUCACUAAUAACUCAGAUUUACUAUCUAAGGCAGAAGUUGCCUCGUCGAGAAUUAAAAUAGAAGAGUUUUGAUAGAAAGCCCUUGCAAUAGCCAGCCUGUAACUNCAACUGAAAACUUAAAGAAAAAAAUUUUAUCCUCUAAAAUAAGACCAAGUUGUUAACCUUCAAUUUUCAGACUACUAAGUAAUAGUAUACAAGAUAUAUUGGUAUAUGAUUUACUUGAUAAAAUAUAUGUUUAAUAUUUUUUUCUGUAUAUUAAUCUUGGAGUUCAUUUUAGUCUUUUAACUUUAAAAAGAUCAAUAUUGAUCAUUUAACUGUUGAAAAAGUUUAAUAUUAAUCUUUUUCAUUUAAUUAGCGAUGAAUUUAUGUGUUUUUUUAUCGUCAAUUAAACGAAAAUGAUUAAUGUGAUACGUUUGAAGAGUUAAGAGACUAAUAUUAACUUUUUUUAAAUUUAAAGAAUUAAAAUGAACUCUAAGAUUAACAAACAGAACCAAAAGGGUAUUAAGUCUAAAAUAUACAAUGUUUUGUGCGGAAAGACUUGAUGUGAUCACAAGGACACAAAAUAUCAUGAUGCAAAUAUUACAAAGAUCAUCUAACAAUCAUAAAAAAGGAAGGUAUGUAAAGACUCAACUUCUCCUAUUUUAUACAUCACACGAAAAUACAAAACAACAUUGAAUCAAUCUUGUAAAUAAAUUUUAAAGAAUAAACUUGAGAAAAUAAGAAACGAACUUUCGAACAAGUGAAUUGAAUUGAUAGCUAUAGUUACCAUUCUUUGUGUUUCAGGUUCUCUUUGUUAGUUUUUACAUUUUUUGUUUCUCUUAUGCAGAGAAAUUUCAUCUAAUUUUGUUAAAAAAAAAUUUAUGAAUAUUUGUGAUUGAAGCAUGUUGAUUUUUGUGUAUGGUAACCUUUUAUUAUUAUUGUUGUGUUUUAUUUGUUAAUGAUUUGUAUGGAUUAAAUACAACUUGUAAGUUAUUUAAAAAGUAGUAUAUGAAAUAGAUAAAUAAUAUUAUAUGAAAUAUAUUAUUUAAAAAAAUAAUAGUAAAAAAUAUAUUUAAAAACAUAAUAGCGGAAAAUACACAAACUAAUAUAAUUGAAUAAAAGAGUGAUGUAAAUUGAUUGAUCGAACCGAAUCAAAUCAAAUCAACAAAAUCAGUUAGUUUAGUUCGGUUCAAUUUAAAAAAAAAAAACUAAAAAUCGAACCAAAUCAAAGCGAUGAAAAAAUUAUUGGUUCGAACAAUUUUUGACUAGAUAUAUGUCCAAAUUGAAUCAAUUACACUCCUAUGUGGUGAUAUUCUUUGAGACAACAUAGAGAUCUAGUUGAGAUUAGUUCUUUGUAUUUGAGAAAUGUAAUAUAUAAGUCAAAUGAUCUUAAAAUAUCUUAGUGAUCUUGCAUUAUGUUUGAUUAUAGGAAAAAUCUCUUACUUAAAGGGAAUUGAGCAUAGCUCCGAGUUAAGGGGAUAAACCAGGGUAAAAUAUGUGUUUUAAAUCUCUCUUUCUUUAUCUAUUUAUCAAUCAACACUUAUGAUUAAAUUGAAUUUUAUUUAAACACUUAGAAAAAAGUUUUAACUUAUUAACACAAUUGUGUAAAAAAAACUUGUUUACACAAUUCAAACAUCUAUUUUUUUUUGUGUCUUUUUCCUUCAUUAAAUAUGUGUGGAGUUCUACCUUGGUAAUUAAAAAAUAAAUAAAAAUAAUAUUAUGAAGGGUUAUCUUUGAAAUAAAUAAAGAUUUUCACAAUUUCAAAUAUUAAAUAUUGCAUUAGCCGAGGAAUGACGAGAGAGAUUGUCCCUCAUAUGGUAUUGAAAAUUUGCACAUCAGUAAUUUGAUUUUUGGUGUUAGGAUUUCUGCGAGGGGUUGCCCCUGACAACACAUUUUGUUUUGUUAAAAAUAAUAGGUAAAUUAUAUGUAUGAUUAUGGUGUGUAUUACUACCUCCAUUUUUUAUUAUAAGUCAUUUUGGAAAAAUAUUUUGUAGCACAAUAUAAAUCGUUUUAUAAUAUCAAUGAAUCGUUAAUGUUAUUUUUCUUAUUCUAUCCUUAAAUAUUUAGGGCCUGUUAAAUGCAUCUUAAAAACUCUUUUAGUUUUUGAAAAUUUAAAAUUUAAAAACUUGUUUGAAUAUAAUGUUUUGCAAAAAUGUUUUUAAAAACUCUUUUCUAUUUUUCAGUUUUUAAAAGCAAAAAAGUGAAACAGUUUAAUUGUGUUUUGCUUCUCACUUUUUAGUUUUUAGUAUUAUAAAAUUUGAAGAAAAAAUAUAAAAAUUUAUAAUUUUCAUUAAUAGCAUUAAUGUAAUUUUAAUAAUUUUAAUAUUUUAAAAAUAAAAUAGAAAAACGUAUUUGAAAGAGUAUGUUAUUUCUUUUAUUUAUGCUCUUUUUAUGUAUAAGUAACCUUUUCAAAUAUGUUUAUUUAUUUUACUUAAUUUUUUUUUUGUGUUUCUUAAUUAUUUUCACUAUAUAAUUUUUUUUUCUAUUAAACAUGAAAUCCCAUUUUUUACUUGUUUUUUUCUUAUUAUUAUUACUACAAACAAGUGUUAUGUGAUUUGCAAAAUUAAAAAUUGAUUUAACCCAAUUAUUUGUAUUCGACCAAAUAUCAAUUAAUUUUCUUAAGUUUGUAAUAUUUUAUAUAAUAAAAUAGAUUUUCAAAGUAAAUAACGAAAUAUUCAUUUUUAUUCUCUUUUAAAAUACUAUUAAAAGAUUAGAUUAUCAAAUAAGUUUUUUCAUUUUCAUAUUUUCAAAAUAGUUUUUAAAAAUUAGUUUAUCAAACAAAUUUUUUGUUAAUUUUCUUCUUAAAAAUAGUUUUUUAAAAUAGAUUUGAAAAAGAAAUUUUAAGAACUAAAAUUGAAAAGUGUUUCAAACAGACCCUUAUUAUUCUCUCUCAUUUCAAUUAUAUCAAUUUAUUUUUUCAAUACCAUUAAUAAAGGGCAAUUUUGUGAAAUCCUUGCUAAUUUCUCUUUUUUAUACUAUAAUUAUUACAUUUCUUAAUAUGUAUGAAAAGUCAAAAACGACUUAUAAUAAAAAAUGGAGGCGGUAUUUAAUUAAUAAAGUAUAUUUACUAUUUUGGUUAAAAAAAUUAUUAUUCAAAAUUAUUAAUGUUAUUAAAUGUUUUUUAUAAUGUACAACUUAAUUAGGAUAUUGUAAUUAUCUAUUUAGUUAACUUUAGUUAGUAUUAUUUUAAUUAAGUUGUAUUUUUUUAGUUAGUAAAUUUUUAUAAAAAUCUUAGUAGAAAUAUUAAGUAUAUGUUAGUAAAAUUUUAGAAAAUAUUUAAUAAUGACUUAAAUAAAUAAAUAAAUAAAUAAAUAUAUAUAUAUAUGAUAUAUGAUAUAUUAUAUUAUAUAUAUUCAUAGAAGAGAGAGGUAGAGAGAGGGAAGAGAGAGAUAUUAAGUUAUUUAGUAAAUUUAGAAAUAUUUAAUAAUGAUUAAAAUAUAUUAUAAUUAUAUUGUUAAAUAAUUAAUUAAUUUAUAUUAUUUUUUAAUAUAAUUAUAUAUAUUAUAUAUAUAUAUAUAUAUAGAUAGAUAGUAUAUAUAUAUAUAAUAUAUAGUAUAUAUAUAUAUAUAUAUAUAUAAUUAAUAUUAUAUAUAUAUAUAUUUAUGAUAAGAUAGAUAAUAUAUAGAUAUAUAUAUAUAUGUAUAUUAUAAUAUAUAUAUAUAUAUAUAUAUAUAUAUAUAUUAAUAUAUAUAUAUAUAUUAUUAUUAUUUAUAUAUCUAUAUAUAUUAUAUUAUAUAUAAUAUUAUAUAUUAUAUAUAUUAUAUUAUAUAUUAUAUAUAUAUAUAUAUAUAUAGAUAAAAUAUAAUAUAUAGGAUAGAUAGAUAGAAUAGAUAGAUAGAUAGAAAGAUGAGAUUAUAGUUAGAUAUAAUAUGAGAUAGAUAGAUAGAUAGAUAUAGUUUAUAUAUAUAUAUAUACUAUUAUAUAUAUAUAUAUAUUAUAUAUAUAUAUAAUAUCAUAUUAUAUAUAUUAUUAUAUAUAUAUAUAGAGAGGAGAGAGAGAGAGAGAGAGAAUAUAAGAUUAUGUGAGUAAUUUUAGAAAUAUUUAAUAAUACAAUUUUACAAAUAUAUAUAUACUAUAAUAAUAUAUAUAUAUAUAUAUAUAUAUAUAUAUAUAUUUAUAUAUAUAUAUAUUAUAUAAUAUUAUAUAUAUAUAUAUAUAGAUAUAUAUAUUAUAUAUAUAUAUAUUAUAUAUAUAUAGAUAGGAUAGAUAGAUAGAUAGAUAGAUAGAUAGAUAGAUAGAUAGAUAGAUAGAUAGAUAGAUAGAUAGAUAGAUAUAUGAAAAGAAAAUAUUAAAAAAACAAUUUUGAAAAUAAUAGUUAAAAUAUUUUUUAAUAAAUCAUAUUUAUAAAAUUACUUAACAAAUAAUGUAAACAAAAUUACUAAUUUACUAAAUAAAUAGAUUUUUAAAACAAUAUUUGUUUUUGUAUUUGUCUUUUAAAAAAAUUAUUAGAUAUUAAUAAUUAGUAAAUGUCUUUUUGAAAUAAAUUAAAUAUUAAAAAACUUUAAAAUAGUAAGUACAUGUUAAUAAAUUUUAUAAAAAAUUUAAUAAAUAACUAAAAUAAAUAUGUUAGUAUGAUAUUAAAAAAUGUAUUAGUAAAAUAUUAAAUAAUAGGUAGUUAAAAGAUAGUAUUAGAAAAUUUGGUAGUAAAAUAUGUUACAAAAUAUAAAAAAAAAAAAAUUUAAAAAGAAAUAGUUGAAUGUAGAGAAACUAAAUAGAGAUGGAAGAAAUGUUGUGGGUUGAAUGAUGUAUUUUUUUUUGUAAAGAUUCGGAUUCGUCAAGCACCUGAAGUAGAUCAUACUUGUGUAGAUGAUGAAAUUACUCCUUGGUGAGUUUGUUAGUUAAAUUAUUUUUAUACUUUCUCGUCAUUUAAAAUUAUCAUAUUUGAGUUCCUCACGCAAGUCUGACAUUCACGUUAGGUUUAAAAGUCAAUUUGCAUGUAUAAUAUGAUAGUUUGACUAAAUUCAAUGUUAAUUGAAUCGGGUCAAGAAUAAUGGGGAAUCAAUUCAAGCACUUUUGUCAACAUGAAUCGAGUCAUGUUUCUAUGUGAAUCAAGUCAAGAUAAUUUCGUUUUUAAAAAUUCGAUUUCGAUAAACAAGACUCAAGUCAUGCUUAUACUUGAAUCUAAUUAAGCAAGUUUUAUGAAUCGCAUUUCAAUUCUGGAAAUGGGACUCGACUCAAGUUGUUUCCAUGAAUCGAUUCAUAACUGCAUUUUUUCAAUCCUGUUUUUAGUAAUGGAAACAUGACUCGGGUGAUGGAAGUUUUUGAAUCAGGUCAUAGCUUGAAAAAAUCAAUUGUUUUAGCUUCUUAAAUCAAUUCAUUAAAUGAUGUGUGAAUCGAAUCAUUAAUGAUUUCUUACAUUGUUUUUAUGCAUUUUCUCAAGCACAUAUAAAAGCUUUGAAUCCUCAUUUUUUCACAAUUAGAUAAUAAAUCAAGUGCGUGAACUUCUAGAAAUUCACUUUCUUUCUCAAAUACAAUAAACUUUGUUUUGUGCAUGAAGGUUGAUUCACCUAGAGAGUGUAAUCUUAUUUGUGAGGAAUUCAUUAUAUUGUUAAUGUGUGAUUGAAUAUUUCUAGUUUAUGGAUAUAUUAUGGAAUUCAAGAAGAAGAAUACGUCUCUUCUACAAAGUAUUGGAGUUUCUUGUUUUCAUCUUUUAUUAGAGGAUUUGGUUCAAGUAAUUUGAGUAGAAUUAUGAAGAAAUUGCUAGAUGUUGAAGAUUUGAAACUGGUAAAGUUAAUAUUAAGUAGAAGAUCAAAGCUUCAAGCUUUGUUAGUUGAGUUGCAAUUGAAAAAGAUCAAUCAAGAAGACUAGAUUACUUAUGUGUUGAGAAUUUUCAGAGUAAUUUAUGUGAUAUUCUUAUCGUAACCGAGCAAUUAUGUAUAAAAAAAUUCAAAAUAGUGGAAGACAAAUUUUGAUGGUUAAUCCAUCAAAGAGUGGAUUGUCAAGUGAGGAAAAAAGCAUUGAACUAGUAUAAAUCCCCAUAACUAGAAAAAUCACAUUUAAACUCGGAUGUGAAAUGCAUUUAACCUCAGUGUAAGACCCCAAUUUUGGCCCUAAGAUCCCUCAUGGCAUCAUAACAUUGCAUUUGCAAAGCCUCAAGGAUCAUAAACAUCUCGGUUCCCUUUACCUUUGGGUGGGACUUCUUGUGAGUGGUUUGAGAUCACCAAGCAUGAUUGAAUUGUAUAUUAUUUCUUCUCUCAUUUUUUGUUUAUUAACCAAGAGCACAAAAAUAUGUCACUAACAUCUUUUGUUUGUAGCUUGAGCAAUCACAAGGUCAAGAGUUUCAAGGAGAUCAUUGGUACAAAGAUAUGGUCAAGUGAAGAGGAAAGCAAGCAUGGUAAUGGUUCCCAAAGCUCUCAUCCACCAAAUAUGUCUACCUAGCAUCUCAAUUCAUCAUUUUGAUCAAAGCAAGUCAAAGGGUUUGAGGUUUGUUCCCCAAAGAAACCCUAAUUCAUCUGUGCACCACAAUGCCUAGCUCAUGAAGCAACCUCAUCCCAUGGUCAAAUACAAUCAAGGGAAGUUCUUUAAUUCAUCAUUUCAUGCAUAUUUGAACUUAUUUGAGUAUCCUCAAUCAUCAAUUCAUCAAGAGAUGAGUCAUGGACUUGAGAAGUUGAUCAGUCAAUUCAUCUGACUAUUGUGAAGUGCACUGAGACAUAACGUUUUAUGUGUUGGUCAAAUGGAGAUGAUUCCAAAAGUAAAAAUGUUUUUAAGGACAAUAUGAACAACUUUCAUGUUCAUCAAAAAUUGAUUUGAAGCUUGGAAGGUCAUCAUCCAUUCCAAGACAUUAUAGGUCAUUUUGACUGAAACCCUAAUUUUGGGUCAACUUCCCAAGGACACACAUCAUUAAUUUAUUAUUUUGAGGUGGUAUAAAUGCAUUGAAAUCUUAGAUGUUAUUAAAAUGUUAUUGAACAAAUUAAUUUAAAAUCUCAAGGAAAUACAUGUUGAUAAUGGCAAAACAUUAUAGGUAUUUGGACAAUGGCAUUUGAAAGGCAAAAAAGUCCAACUUCAAGUGCCCAUAACUCUUUCAUCAAAAAUCCAAAUGAUGCAAAAUUUAAGUCCAUUUUGAUUGUCUUGAAAAGAUAUACAACUUUGAUGUUGGAGGUGUUUUUCAUUUGAAGUUUGCAUCAUCAAAGCAGAGGGGCUUGAACAUUGGCCAAAUUUAGAAGCUUUGCCUUUACAUGUUUCGCACCUUGCACUUUAAAAUAAAAUUUCACCAAUUUCUACACUUCAAAUGGAUUUUUGCCCAACAUAACAAUUGUUCCUUACAUCAAAACCUUUCCAACCAUUACUCACAUGCUCAUGUUUGGAUUUGGCAAAUGGCAUUUUCGAAGAGGAGACGUUUUAGGCAUGAUUAUGCAUAACAUGUUUGAACUCAUUAUACAAGUUUGUGCAUUGCCAAUUCCACGACCAUUUCAGCUCAAUUAUGCUUCAGAGUGCAUUUGGCAUUGAAUUUGGGCCUCUUGAACGAUCAUGCAAGCCCAUGCAAUGAGUAUCCAAUUCCAUGCACACGGCUUUGAUCACACUUACCUUGCCCUUCCAUCUAUAAAUAAGAGUCUCACUCCAUUCAAAUUUCAUCCAUGAAUCAACCUGAAGUGCUGCAGAAAUCAAAACUGAGCCACACCUAAAGGAACUCUUCCAAUUUUCUUCAAUUUCUCAGAUCUGAAAUUCAACUAAAUCAGGUUGAAUUUCUAGAUCUAAAGUUCCUAGACCUCUCUCUCAUACUCCAUUGAUCUUCUGUUUGGCCAAAGGAAGUAAGGAAGCAAGCUCAAAUCUCCAGAACUCAAGGUUGUUCUUCAACUGGUUUUCUCUUCGAAACUCACCAUUUAUUGAUCUAUUUGCUUGGAUUUUGUGUUGGCUGAAGUCCUCUCAAUAGAGGCAUCAUUACUGUGCAUUUAAUUUUUGAAAUUAAUCAAGUUCAUGAUGAACACCACAGAAUUUCCAUCUCUGAUUUUUCUAAAUAUAGAGAUCUAGAGUGGAAUUGAGUGGUACAGGGAUGAUGUACAUCAUCCCAACUUUCCAAUGAUGUAUGGAUCGUGUAUUUUGGUUAAGCUUUUGAAACCUGCAAAUGUCACCGAAAUCUUCAUGCUCACCGGAGAAGAAGGUGGCUCCGGUGACCGUCCCUUUGCCAGAUGCGUUGUGGACCAUUGGAUCUGAUUUCCAGUUUAUAUCCCAGCCCUUGGAUCUUUUGACUUUUAAUAAUGCCAUGUGUUACGCGUGGACUGAAGCCUACCAUGAGCGCGCGCUUCUGGANNNNNNNNNNNNNNNNNNNNNNNNNNNNNNNNNNNNNNNNNNNNNNNNNNNNNNNNNNNNNNNNNNNNNNNNNNNNNNNNNNNNNNNNNNNNNNNNNNNNNNNNNNNNNNNNNNNNNNNNNNNNNNNNNNNNNNNNNNNNNNNNNNNNNNNNNNNNNNNNNNNNNNNNNNNNNNNNNNNNNNNNNNNNNNNNNNNNNNNNNNNNNNNNNNNNNNNNNNNNNNNNNNNNNNNNNNNNNNNNNNNNNNNNNNNNNNNNNNNNNNNNNNNNNNNNNNNNNNNNNNNNNNNNNNNNNNNNNNNNNNNNNNNNNNNNNNNNNNNNNNNNNNNNNNNNNNNNNNNNNNNNNNNNNNNNNNNNNNNNNNNNNNNNNNNNNNNNNNNNNNNNNNNNNNNNNNNNNNNNNNNNNNNNNNNNNNNNNNNNNNNNNNNNNNNNNNNNNNNNNNNNNNNNNNNNNNNNNNNNNNNNNNNNNNNNNNNNNNNNNNNNNNNNNNNNNNNNNNNNNNNNNNNNNNNNNNNNNNNNNNNNNNNNNNNNNNNNNNNNNNNNNNNNNNNNNNNNNNNNNNNNNNNNNNNNNNNNNNNNNNNNNNNNNNNNNNNNNNNNNNNNNNNNNNNNNNNNNNNNNNNNNNNNNNNNNNNNNNNNNNNNNNNNNNNNNNNNNNNNNNNNNNNNNNNNNNNNNNNNNNNNNNNNNNNNNNNNNNNNNNNNNNNNNNNNNNNNNNNNNNNNNNNNNNNNNNNNNNNNNNNNNNNNNNNNNNNNNNNNNNNNNNNNNNNNNNNNNNNNNNNNNNNNNNNNNNNNNNNNNNNNNNNNNNNNNNNNNNNNNNNNNNNNNNNNNNNNNNNNNNNNNNNNNNNNNNNNNNNNNNNNNNNNNNNNNNNNNNNNNNNNNNNNNNNNNNNNGAUCUAUGAAAAAUAUUCUCAUCAAUUUAUUAAUUGAUUUGAGAUUUAUUUGAGAUUUUAGUUCAAAUAGGUUAUUUUUAUUCAUUUUUAAUUGAUUAAAAAUAGUUUCUGACUUUUAAAAAUGCUGAAAUUUUUUGUCAAACUUUGUUUGACCUUGUUGAACUUGGGAUAAAUCACUUGGACUUUUCAAAGUUGGUUUGAAGUGAUUUUGAAGUUUGACCUUUCUUUUAUUUUUAAUUCAAGUUUAUUUUAAUAUUAAAAAAGCCAAAAAUAUUUUGCUUAUUGUUUGACCUCCAAUCUUCAUCUCACUUCUGAUUUCUCAUUGUUUGACUUUGACUUUCAAUGUCAUUUGAUCAACACACAUGGAUUGGUACAUUUUAUUUUCACCUUAUGCACUUUAUUCUUUCUUUUUUCCUUUUCCAUUAUUCAUCUCUUUCUUCUUCUUCUUCCUUUUUCUUUUUGAUCAAUGAGUUGAAGGUUGAUAAGUUAGCAUUGAUUAGGGAGACUUAACCUUCCUUGAUUUAAAUCUAAUUCAUCUUGAUCAAUUGAUCAAGUGAAUGGCUUUGCAUUAGGGAUAGGUUGUUUCCUAAAUUAUGCAAAAGGCUCAAACCAAUACAAGAUCAAUUCUCUUCUUCCUUUUGGCAUGGUAAGUUGUUAGAACUUGGUUCACUAAUCAAGACUUCUAACUUGUGUUGUUGCCUACAUUAUUAUUGACCGGCCUCAGAUAGUUGUGACUUCUACAUAAGUCCAAUUACGAUUGCUUAACAUAGCACUAAAUUUUGCCACUUGUGUUGUUGCCUACAUUAUUAUUGACCGGCCUCAGAUAGUUGUGACUUCUACAUAAGUCCAAUUACGAUUGCUUAACAUAGCACUAAAUUUUGCCUUAUGGCACACUAACCAUUAACCACUAACCAUUAACAUUUACUUUUUGCAUUUACUUUUUUGCAAUUUAUCAUUCUUGUACAUAUUAUUCAUUUGCUUUUUCCUUUGCUCAUUGGAGCACAUGUUUAUGUUAAUGCCAUUUGUCUUUUGCUCACUUGAGCAUAUAGUUGUAUAUAUCUUUUGUGUUUGUGUUUGUCUGUUUGUUGUGACCCAAAUGCAAAGAAUUAGACAAAAUGGACUUAGACUUUAGGACCUUACCCAAGCAAAUGGAGUUUGAAGAGAAACUAGGCCUCAUGCCUUUAGAGUGCUUAAAUGUCAAAGAUCAACUAGGCCUCAUGCCUUUAGAAUGCUUAAAGCUUAAGGAUGAACAUUGAAAGGACCAUAUUCUAAACUCCCUCUUGUCCAUUCUUUGAUUGUUAAUAGAACAUUUUGAUGUUUUGUUUCUUUGUGCUAGGGUUCCUAACUUAAGCCUAAUUGAGGAAUCAUUACCAUGAGCUUCUAAGAGAGAGAGAUCCAAGAUACAUUGAGGAGUCUUUCCAAGAGUUCAUUUGAAUAUUGAUUGCUUGAGUUUAUGCUUAUUUGCUUGCUUAUUCCAAAGGAUGGGAGCUACUUGGAUCAUCAAUAUGAUCUUAAGAGAGGAACUCCAUUGUGGUUUUGUUUCUUAUUCCUUACCUCUUGCAUGCUUAGGAUCUUAGACAUUCUUCUUCUUCUCUCCACUCUAACCCAAGCCAAAACUUUUGUGCAAACAUCUAACACUUAUUUUCAACAUUAGAAACCUAAGCCUUAUUCUUUGGAUUUUCAAACUCUCUUUCCAUAAUACUUAUUUUGAAUUGAAUCUUUAAGUCCACUUUGACCAUUUUGUAUAUACUUCUAAUUGGUAAAUAUAACCCACUCAAAUGUCUUUUUAUGGUUUCAAUGGCCACUUUCUAAUCAAAACUCUUUCAUAAUUUUUAGCUAUUAGGUUUGAGUUAUCUUUGUGGUAGAUGUAAUACUCACCUAUAUCCUUAGUGAUGGACAAUGAGUCUUCCAUGCUUAUUAUAGGGUUAACCCCUCACUAGCAUGUUGAAGCUAUCCUCACAUGGUGGAUUUGUGGUUUUAGGUUGAGUUUUCUCCCUUGGAUAACAAAAGACCUUAAGGCUUUUGGACCAAUCAAUUCACCAACUUGUUUUGAGAUUUUUACCCCGAACUACGAGGUUUUGAUCCUAAUCUUUUUUAAGAUGGUACGUAGGCAAUGGGUUUAUCCAUCCAAACACAAAAAUGUAAAUAAACUUGUAUAUUCUCUUCUCAACUCUUCAAUCAUGUUUGCACAAAUAAACUUUCACAAAACAAAAACCUUACAACAAGUAUGAAAAGGGCUCCCUAGGAGUACCUAGGAUGUUUUGGGUGCCUAACACCUUCCCAUUGCAUAACCAACCCCCUUACCCAGAUCUCUGACUCUCUUUUACUAGUUUUUGAUUCGAUAAAACUUUUAGGUAUUUGUUCGCUUUCUAACCAUUCCUUUGGAUAAAUAGAAGUGCGGUGGCGACUCGACUUGUAUGAUUUACCUUGGAUUUAGUCAAUAUCUCCAAUGGUAAGAAAUACCCCGCUACACUCAGCUGUAGAGGCGAGAUAACGAAGAGCGUCAUGAAAAAUGAAAAUUUUACCUCUCGGUUAUAAAAAAAAACUGACGGAUAUGUGAAAGGUCGUGGGUUCGAUACCCAGGGAGACCUUUUUGGAAUUCUGAAAUGGCGAAAAUGUCACCUCAAUUUUAUAAUUUCGUCGACAGAUAUACCAUAUUUUCACCUUGGUUAUCUCAUAAAACUGAAGGGUAAAACAAUUUUUGAGUUUAUUAAAUCUAAUGUGGAUUGCUCAUUCACUAAACCCUAUAUUAAACAUAUAAAUUCUAAAAAAUGGUUAGGAAAAUAAUUAUAUGAAAAUUUGUGUUAUAUUUGAAGAACAACUUACAUUGAUUAUGAUUUUGAAGCAUUCUGCAACUCAUCGUUCUUCUCACGUUGUUUUAUGGUUAAAAUCUCUCAAAUGUUUCAAGUUCUUUAUUCAACACUUUCUUUUCUACUAAUUCAUUCUUGAAAGCAUAAAGCUUGAUGCUUUGAAAAAUUAACAAAUAUGGAAGAAAGUUGAACAAAAUGUAGAAGUAUUGGAGAGGUUGUAAUAAUAAAACAAUGCGAGAUGAAUGAUGAGUUGUAUAAUGCUAGAAAGUCAUUAAUAAGUGUAAGAUAAGUUUUAGAUACAAUAUCAUUUUGCAUAUGAUUAUUUACAAAAUUAAUUUACUAGGUUAUGUGUUUAAAUAGGGGUUAGUUAAACAAAUUAUCGAUAUUAGAUAGAAUAAACUCAACUAGACAGAACAAGAUAAGAGUUGCACAAAUAAUCACAAAAACAUAGUCUCAAUAUCAAUAUCAACAACAAAAACAACAAGAAAACAACAAUAACAUCAAAUACAACAUCAAGAACAACAACACCGAUAAACAACAACAAUAUCAAUAACAACAACGUCAAUAAACCAUCUUUAGGGUUUAGGGUCUCAACAACAAGAUUAACAACAUAAAAAAAAGCAUCAAUAACAAUAACAAAAACUCUAGGAUUUUGGAUCUUAACAACAGCAACAACAACAAUAACAAUAACAAUAACAAUAACAAUAACAAUAACAAUAACAAUAAUAACAACAACAACAACAACAAUGAUAAUAAUAUGAAGAAAAAAAAUAUUAGUAGUGAUGUUUGACGUAACGAAUCUUUGAAGAAGAAGUGAAAGAAAAUGAUUUGGAUCUUUGAAGAAGAAAAGAGAGUCCUAAAGACAUAACAUCUUCGUAUUGAAGAUGGAAUGUCUUUAUGGUUCUCGUUGUUUAUGCUCUUCGUUAGGGUUCUGUUUGUGUUGUUUGGACAAAUGAAAUUGAAUGCUACAAGCUAAAGCUAUAUAUAUCAGGGAAACAUAUUCACCUCAGUUGGUAUGAAACCUGAAGGAUAAUGUAGCAUACUUUUAAAUUAAAAAUAAAAUAUUCAAGAACGCACCACUUUUAAUGAGAUAAAAACAUAAACUGAGGUUGCUGAUAUUCGAAGCAUGUACAUUGAAUAUGUUUCUCCAUAGGUUUUCUAAAUAAUCGACGAAAUAUAUUCUAUAUUUUUUUUAUUAAAAAAAACAGGGUGCGUUCAGGUAUUUGACUUCGGUUUUUUAUGACUUGAGGUGAAAUCGUCGUCAUUAAAUGUAUUAUCUAUAGUAGUGCCUAAUGAAUCUCUCUCUCUCUCUCUCUCUCUCUCUCUCUCUCUCUCUCUCUCUCUCUUCCCUUCUCUCUCUCUCUCUCUCUCUCUCUCUCUCUCUCUCUCUCUCUCUCUCUCUCUCUCUCUCUCUCUCUACUCUCUCUCUCUCUCUCUCUCUCUCUCUCUCUCUCUCCUCUCUCUCUCUCUCUCUCUCUCUCUCUCUCUCUCUCUUCUCUUCUCUCUCUCUCUCUCUCUCUCUCCUCUCUCUCUCUCUCUCUUAUAUAUAUAUAUAUAUAUUAUAUAUAUAUAUAUAUAUAUAUAUAUAUAUAUAUUAUAUAUAUAUAUAUAUAUAUUAUUAUAUAUUAUAUAUAUACUAUAUAUUAUAUAUAUAUUUUCUUCAUAGAAUUUUUUUUUAUUAGUUUGUAUGUUUUAGUUUUUCAUCUUGUUCUUAUUAAUUAAGUUGUAAAAAAUCUAGGUGGGAUUAGAUCUAGUUUUGAAAUUUAUCUUUUUUUAGUAAUCUGUAAAGCUUGUAAUAUUAGAUUUUAAAAUUAUUUGAUCUUGUACAAUUAAAAUCUCUUCAAUAGAAUUAAGGUAGAUCAAUUAGCUAAUUUUUACCUCAUCAUUACUUUCUAUAUCAAUACGUACAAUACUUCAAACUACGUAAAAUAUUUUACAUACAAUUUCAUCUAUUUAGUUUCCAAAGUUUAACAUUGAUUUUGGUAUUUUUAAAAAAAGGGAAAUUAGUCUAUUCAACUCUCUUACAUUCUUUAGAUUUACAAUUGGAAUUAAAAUUUGGUUUUUUUUAUCAAGGUCUAAUCGACCAUAAAAGUUACUAAAUAUGGUGUAAAAUGAUUCAAAAGGUGCAUACAAUAUAGCUCCCAUUUUCAUUAGUGAUAAUUACGCACAUUGGAACGAUUUCAUAUAUGUGCAUCUUACGUCUAUUGAAUUAUAAUUAUGGAUUAUCUUUCAAAGAAGGACCUUUAAUCCCUAAAAGGAUUAUCGGUGGCAUCUCUAUAAAGAAAACCCUUAAGGGAUGGAAAACCCCUAAGGGAUGGAAUGAUGAUGAGACUAAACAAGUGUCUUACAAUUUGAAGGUAAUAUAUAUAAAUAUCAGAUCUUUAAGUAUUGAUGUAUAUUUAUCAAUCUCACAUCGUAAAACUUCUAAAGCAAUCUGGGAUGCACUUCAAGAUCCAUGAAAGAAUUGAAGAUGUCAAACAUUAUAAGUUAACACCACGACAAAAGAGUAUAAAUUCUUUCAUAUGGAGUCCAUUAGGAUGUUUCACCAAUUAUUUCAUAUUGAGACAUUAGGAUGUUUCACCAAAUUUUCAGGCCUAUGUUACAAAAGGAAUUAACAGUUGUAUCCCAGCAGACUCUAUGAAGAGAAUAGAGCUUAUGCAUUCACAUGACAAAGUAUGUUCAAAUAUGAACCGUGACCUAUCAGGACCACCUUGGUCUUUGCGUUUUGAUUGACUUAAGUUUUGAUCAUCUAAAGCAGACUUCUCUAAAUCCUAGUCUUCAGAGGCUAACUCCUUUAGACUCUGAUCUUCAGACAUUAACCUCUUCAGAAGUUGACUUCUUCAGAGUCUGAUCUUCAGGUUCUGAUCCGUUAAAUUUUGGUCUUUAAGCUUCUUUUUGAAUUUUCAUAGUUAAAGCACAUAUAUAAUUAUUCAGAAUUUAUUCUGGUCACACUUGAACAAACAUUAGUAUACCUGAUAAAUUUAAAUAUUAAAGCACAUAUAUAAUUAUUCAAAAUUUAAGCAAGAUAAUAACUGUCAAAUUUUAGGUGCUUAAAUAAUUAUAUAUCUACUCCCCAUUUUGUCAUUAACAAAAAUGAUUAAAGGAAAUAGAAAAGAUAUUGAAGAAAUUUUUUUCAUAUAGCCCAAGAUCUGGAUAAAAUAGUUUAAAAACAUAUUUGAUUUUCCCUUUUUUUUUAAAAAAUAAGAAAGAAAUUCAAACCUGGUUAGACUAGUUGGGAAACAACUUCUUCAAUUCUCAAGAUGGUCAAAAUAGGUUCUGACAGUUACGAUUUUGAGAGGAAUAAGACAGUCAAAGAUGGGGAGACGUGCAUCAAGACCAAGAAUAUAUCUCUCUCUUCAAUGUUCAUUCUAUGCUCUCUAUAAAACUUGUCUUCUAAGACCAUCAAGGCCACGUAUAAUUCCAAUUAUCUCUUCUCAUAACAGAAAACAUGAGUAAGAUGUCCAAGAAUUCCAAGGAGGGCACUUCCAAAGAGAUUGUCAAUGAAAACUCAUAACAUAAAACAUGAGUAAGAUGUCAAUGAAGAUGGAGGAAGAAACUUAAUAAAUAUGAUUUCAAAAAGGUCGAAGGUUCCAAGUCACGAGCUCGUUCAUCUACAAGAGCUUCUAAAGUGGGAAGGACAUCAGUUGCUAAGAUAAAGAAACUCAAGAAGAGUCAGGGUCCAGCUUUUGACUUUGAUUCAGAUGUUGAUAAGGACUGGAUGAACUACCUCAAAUGUCGUACUUAUUUCUCUGAAGAAUUUAUAGUUGAAUAGUAUAUGUAGUUCAUCUUGUUACUUAAGAGAAUGAAUUUGGAUUUGUAAUGAUUUCAAAUUAAUGAUAACAUAUCCUUUUCCUUUUGCAUCUAUUUCUUUUUCUCACUUGCAUCCAUUUCAGUUGAGCCAAUAAGAAGAUUUAUUUAGAGAAGUUUUCCAACCAUUUCAACUAAUUUUAUGUUGUGUGAGAUUAAGAAAAAUAUAAUUACUUUAAACAAAAUUUUAAACACAUAACUAUAACAGAAAUGAUUUAAGGGGAAACAAAACAUAAUUUCAUUUUAUCCAAAAACACUGAUUCCUAAAGGUAACACAACUAUUUCUCUUAAGAGAAGGAAAAGUAUGAUAUAAGUUACACUUCGUUGCUUAACACAAACAUGAUUGGUUAGAUCCAUUUUGUAUAACUCAAGGAUCAUAAGACAGAAAAUUCUCUGAAGAAUUCUGACUUAGGAUCUUAUGAAAAAGAAAAUCUUCUUAUUCAAGUAACUGACUGAUUCAGAGUCUAAUAACUCAGAAACAUGUAGCAAACAAUUAGAGACACAAGGAAUCUAAUGGAAAUAAAGCAUACAUUAAAGACAGAUGGGGAUGAGAUAAAGUAUUCAAAAACACUUACAUCAUUAACCACCUGUUAUUAUCCAACAGUUGAGAAACCAAGUGUCAGAAAACAAUUCAGAUUCAUGACACCUAAGUGGAGAGAUGUCAAACAAAACUUUUCCCACUUAUAUCCUAUCAGAGACAACAAAUCAAAUUCUGAGCAAUAGAGGUUGAGUUGAAUUAUAUGCUAUAAUUCAUCAGAAGCUUGUUCAUAUCUUCUUACCACAGUAGCUUCUGAUUAUCAUCGGACUCUGAUCCUCCAUUUGUAAGCAAGUACUAAUCUUUUAACAAAAUGCAUGUUCAGAUUAUUUUUUAUAAAAUCAAAUCUUUCAAUAGUAAGAGGCUUAGUAAAUACAUUCGCCCAUUGAUGAUCUGUAUCAAUUAAUUAUAUAUAUAUCACACCCUUCUAAACAUAGUCUCUAAUAAAAUAUUAUUUUAUUUCUAUGUGUUUAGUUCUAGAAUGUUGAAUUGGAUUCUUUGUCAAAAAGACAACAACAGUAUUAUCACAAAAGAUUGGAAUAUUGCUCACACUUAUCUAAUAGUCAUCCAGGUGAUAUUUCAUCCAUAGUAGUUAUGUACAAUAAAUUGUAGUUGAUAUGUAUUUUUCUUAUGUUGUAGACAAAGAAAUUGUUGCUUGUCUUUUACUAGCCCGGGAUAUUAGGUUUUCCCCUAUGAAUUGGCAACUCCCACUAGUGUAUUUUCUCUCAAUUCUAUCCCCAACAUAGUCAACAUCAUAGAAUGCAACUAGCUUAUAGUCUAGGGAUUUUUUAUAAAGCAACCAUGGAUUUGUUGUUCUCUUUAGAUACCUAAAUAUCCUCUUAUAUUGUAUUCGGGUAUGGGUUCUAAGGAUGUGAGUUCAUAGGAUAUGAACUCAAAAGUAUUAGAUCAGGAUUAUUUUCUUGUUUUCUAUAUGGGUAAGAUACAUUUGGUACUGAAGAUAUCUAACAAGUGGUGUUAGAUCCACUCAUUCCUAUUUCAAUUUGAUUAUGGGAUUUUUUGAAAUAAGGGUUAAAAAUGGGAUUUACUUUGAUCUUCCAAUUUAUAUAAAAAAACUAAUGUUUAUAUGUUGUAAUUCAUGUUUAUGGUUUUAUUUGAUGUUGGCAUCAUGAGAUUUAUGUUGGAUACUGAAGAAAACUCAACAAUUAUUUAAAUAUUUUCGGAUUUAUCAUUUUUUUCUGCGAAAAUUGGAGUCUGGGAGUGGAUAAAGGUCGUCAACCUUGGUGACGGGCUAAUUGUCACGCUCUGAAGCCCGGUGACGGGCUCGAUUUCUAUUGGAGAUCAUCAGCGAUGACUGACUCGUACCCCUUUUUAGAUGACAGUUGUAAUCGAUGGAUGGAGGAUAGUCUAUGCUAGUCCUUAGCAGGUGACGACCGUCACGGUCUGUGAAGCCCAAACUAUCACCCGAACUAUUUCAAUAUCGUUUUAGAACAAUAAUCUUUUCUAGGCUUUUGAUUUUUUUUUGAAAAAUUCAGAACUAUAUUUAUUUUGUGCUUCACAUAACAAAGAUGACAUGGAUUGGAACACAUACAUGUCGUACUGGUUUGCAUGGUCGUGCCCUUUAGUUGUCUUGUCCAUUAACUUUGGUGCAAUUUUGUUCAAGUUUUGGCUACGGUGUAUAAUUUUAUACAAAGUGUAACAUUUUAAGUGAGUUAAUUAAAAUAAAAUGUCACCAAAGUAAUCUCUUUUUUGGGAGAUUUCUUAUAAGAAAUGUUUUUAAAAAAAUUCUUUUGUAUAUGCGUUUAUCCAUGCGAGUAUCAAUUGACCCAAAUGACAGUUGAUGAUUGGUCAGAUUUCAUACACACCUGUGAUGGUAAACAUGUGAUAAUUAUAAGGUUUCACAUGUGAAUGACAAAUCAAUCAAAAUAGAGGUUUGUUAUUUGGCAUGUUGUAUUAUCAAUAUUUGACCAUUACAACAAGAGUACCAAUAGUAGGUUAUAUUAGUGUACAAAGACUCAAUAUUGAUGGUGCACUAGGUAUCUUGAGAUGGAUUUAUGACAUUAUUUGAACAUAUUGAUGAUUACAAUUUUCUUUUAUAUGAGUAUAUUUAUAGUAUAUAUGUCAUUAUUUUUUUCAACUAUGAUUACUUCGAUAUCUUCUAAUCUGAAUUCGGUUCUUGUCCUUAAUGGGGCGAAUUUUAAGGAAUGGAAAGAGAACAUGGAAAUUUUUCUUGCAUUCAUGGAUCUCAACCUUGCAUUGAAAAUGGAGCAACCACCUUCUCCUAUGGAAUCUAGUACCUCUUAACAGAGGAAAGAUUAUGAGAAGUGGGAUCGCUCUAUUCAUAUAAGUCUCAUGAUCAUUAAGCGUGAAAUUCUUGAGGUCUUUAGAGGUACUAUCUCAAAAUUUAAAAGUGUUUUAAGAAAAACGAUAAGACAAAAACAAGUAAUCUUCUUCAAAACAUGAUUUCCAUUAAGUAUCAAGGCAAAAGAAAUAUAAGGGAAUAAAUUAUGUGCAUGUCAAAAAUUGCUUCAAAACUUAAGGCAUUAAAGAUUGAUUUGUCAGAAGACUUGCUCAUGCAUUUAGUAUUACUUUUUCUUCCUUCACACUUUAGUUAGUUUAAGUUAUCUUAUAAUUGCUAAAAGGAUAAAUGGUCUCUUAAUGAUAUCAUUUCAUUUUCUAUGCAAGAAUGAAGCAAGAUAAGACAAAAAAUGCUCAUUUUGUUGGCACCUCUAAAUCUAUAGAUAAGGGAAAAAGGAAGAAAACUAAUGAGUCCAAGAAUGAAGUUGCAAAUGUUUCAACACAAAAGAAACAAAAUCAGGAUGAUAAUUGUUUCUUUUAAAAAAUGUUUUGACAUGUGAAUAAGAAAUCUCUUAAAUAUCAUGCUGAAAAGAAAGUUACAUUUCAUGGUUUAGUUUGUUCUAAGGUCAAUUUACCUUUAGUAUUUAGAAACACUCGGUGCUUAGACUCUAGUGUGACUACUAACAUCACUAUUUCAAUGUAGGGUUACCUGAACUACUAUAAGUUAAAUGAUGUUGAGAGAUACAUUUAUGUUGGAGAUGGCAAGUCAAUUGAGGUGAAAGCUGUAAGGAAUUUUAGAUUAUUAUUGUAUACUUGAUUUUAUUUGGAUUUGAAAAACACUUUUGUGGUACCCAUCAUUUAGACAAAAUUUAAUUUCAGUUUCUUCUUUGGAGAAAUCAGGUUAUUUAUGUUCAUUUGGAAACAAUGUAUUCAAGUUGUCUUUUAAUUCAGAUAUUGUUGGUAUUGGUUCACUUAUGAGUCAUGAUAAUCUAUAUUUGUUUAACACGGUAGCCACCUAUAAUGAAUCCUUAAAUAUGGAAUCACAUAGUAAUAAGCGUAAAAUUGAUAAUAACAAUUCAAGAGCAUUAUGGCACAAGUGCAUAUGUCACAUCUCUAUAAAUAUAGUUGAGCAACUAGUGUCAGAUGGAAUUUUGGAUUCCACUGACUACAUAAACUUUGAUGUUUGUGUUGAGUGAGUUAAAGGUAGAUAGACGAAAACAUAGAAAUUUGGUACAUAUAGAGCUACAAAUGUCUUAGAAUUGAUACAUACAGACAUUUGUGGACCGUGUUCCUCACCUUCUUGGAAUGGUCAACAAUAUUUUAUACCAUUCAUAAAUGAUUAAUCUAGAUAUGUGUACAUAUUUCUUAUACAUGAAAAGUCUCAACCAUUGGAUGUGUUCAAAUCAUUGAGAAUCAACUCAACAAACGAAUUACGAAUGUCAAAUAUGAUUGUGGCGGUGAAUAUUACGGCAUAUAUGAUGGUUCAAGUAAACAACGUCUGAGGCCUUUUACCAAAUAUAUGGAGGAGUAUGGAUUCAUCCAACAGUACACCAUGUCAGGAUCACCUAGCAUUAAUGGUGUGGCUGAAAUACAAAAUCAACCACUUAAGAAAAUGGUAAGGAGUAUGAUUUGUAAUUAUCCAUUGCUAUAGUCACUCCGAAGAGAGACACUAAGAACUGGAACUUACAUCUAAAUAGAGUGCCAACCAAGGCAAUUUCCAAAACACCUUAUGAACUUUGGAUUGGGCGAAAGCCUAGUCUGAAACAUUUUUACGUAUGGGGAUGUCCAGCUGGGGAAAGGCCUUAUAGGUCAAAUGAAAAGAAAUUGGACUCCCUAACAGUGAGAAGUUACUUUAUUGGUUAUUCUAAAAGAUCUAGGGGCUACAAAUUUUACAAUCCCAAAUUAAACUCAAUUUUUGAGAUGGGAACAACCACGUUCUUUGAGGAUAUGGAGUUUGGUGGGAAUAAUAAGGUUAGAGACUUUGUUUUAGAGGAAGAAUCAGUAAGAAUUCCAUAAUCGAUUCAUACAUUUACUUUUGAUCAAAUAAGUAUGGAACCUCCAUAAGACAAUGUUGAAUUUCCUCAUACUCGUGAUGAUUUGGUAAUUCAUGAAGAAUAAACUCAAGAUCCUUAAGAAGCAGUGUUACAAGAAUCAAUACAUUUGCGGUGAUACACUAGAGAAAGGAGAAAUAAUAUUCUGGAUGAUUACAUAAUCUUUCUCCAAGAAGAUGAGGAAAAUAAUGGUAUGAUGGAAGAUGACCCAAUCAACUUCCGUCAAGCCAUGCAGGAUUCCAACUCUGAAAAGUGGACUGAAGCAAUGAAAGGGGAUUAUAAGUCCAUACAAGACAAUAAGGUUUACGAAUUUGUCUCGUUACCAGAAGGUGUGAAAACCAUUGGUUGCAAAUGGAUUUUAAUACCAAAUGAGAUCCUAACGUAAUAUGGAGAGGUAUAAGGCCCGUCUUGUGGCUAAGGGUUAUACCCAAAAGGAAGGGAUUGAAUUUAAAGAGACUUGUUAUCCAAUUUCAUUGAAACACGCUUUUAUGACAAUCAUGACUCUUAUUUCACAUUAUGAUUUGGAAAUCCAUCAAAUGGAUGUCAAGACGACAUUCCUCAACGGUAAAGUUGAUGAAACAAUCUAUAUGGUGCAACCAAAAAAAUUUGUGUCAUGAGAAUCAAAGAAUAUGGUUUGGAAAUUAAUAAAAUUCAUUUAUAGACUAAAGAAGAUGCCUCGUCAGUGGCACCACAAGUUUCAUGAAGUGAUUCUCUCAUUUGGUUUUGAGGUGAACGUUGUUUAAGAUUGUGUGUAUCAUAAAUUCACUAGGAACAAGUACGAUUUCCUGGUCUUGCAUGUUGAUGACAUACUGCUUGUCACUAAUGGUAUAUGCAUGAUGCACGAAACCAAGAAAUUUAUAUCAAUAAAAUUCAAAAUGAAAGAUCUUGGUGAUGCCUCCUUUGUAAUAGGAAUUCAGAUACACAAAGACUGGUGUCGAGGUAUUUUAGGAUUAUCACAAAGGAGUUAUAUCAAAAAGAUACUUAAAAGGUUUGGCAUGCAGGAAUAUAAACCAAGGGAUACUCCAUUUGCUAAGGGAGACAAAUUUAGUCUUAGUCAGUGCCCAAAAGGAAACUUAGAAAUUCAAGAGAUACAAAAGAUUCCUAAUGUGUUACCUAUAGGGGUUAUGAUGUAUGCCCAAGUUUGUACGCAUCUAGAUAUUUCUUUAAUAGUUGGGAUGUUAGGCAGAUAUUUGAGAAAUUCAUGAGUGGGUCAUUGAAAAGCAGCCAAAAGGGCUAUGAGGUAUUUAAAGAGAACAAAAAAUUAUACAAUCACAUAUAUGAGGUGAGACCAGUUGGAGAUCACUGGAUAUUCUGACUCUGAUUUUGCUUGAUGCCAAUAUAGUAAAAGAUCCACUUCAGGCUAUAUAUACAUGUUGGUUGGUGGUGCAAUUUCUUGGCGCAGUGCCAAGUAAACUCUUAUAGCUUCGUCCACCAUGAUAGUGGAAUUUAUAGCAUAUUUUGAGACAUAUUUCCAUGGGAUUUGGUUGAAAAAUCUUGUCCCUAGGGUGAUGAUUGUGGAAGGAAUUAAAAGAUCAUUUAAGUUGUAUUGUGACAAUAAAUCACCUGUCUUAUAUUCCAAUAAUAGUAUGAGCUCGACUAAGUAAAAACAUGUUGACAUCAAGUUCCUUGUUGUUAAGGAAAAAGUACAAAGUGGACAGAUUUACAGAGAACAAAUAGGGACAAACUCCAUGAUAUCAUAUCCUUUUACAAAAGGUCCUCCAUCCAAAGUCUUUCAUGAGCACACUACUUAUAUGGGUGUUUUAUAGUUUGAGGAAUCUUUAGUUUAGUUGGAGUUACUCAUUUAUGAAUUUUGUGUUCUAUGUUUGGUAUUAUGUAUGCAUACUCUGGUUUUGAAUAUUUUUUAUGGUUUAUAAAGCUUGAUAUUCUGCUAUUUAUACUUUGUACAAUAAGGUUAAUGAAUAAUCUCAAUAAAGUAAAGUAAGAACAAUUGAAAGUCGACAUGUACAGACCAUAUUCUUGUGAUUUUCAUGCUACACAUUUUAUGAUGAAUAUAUGUCAUGUAGUAAUGUCAUUAUUAGUAGUCGGUGAUGAGUUUAGUGAGAUAAUGAAAAUCACUUUGGUUUUAACAUAACAAAUGGACGAGAUUAUUCGGAUAAGCUUGAAAUAUAUAUAAUGGAAAAAUUUGAGUCUAUAAAGUCUAACACGUGAGUAAAGUUAUAUAUGUGACGAGUGAUAGAUUGCUAGAAUUUUUGGGGACAUAUAUAAUAUUACAUGUAUUACAACCAUUAUUUAAUUAGCCAAAACUAUAGUUGUCUAAUGAUAUUAAGUUUUUGGUUGAGGGCAUAUAUGUCAUAAAAAUGUUAUUGUAUAGAUAUCAUAAGUUAAUAUUUUAAUUUGAUGAGAUGUCAAAUUAGAAUAUUGAAAAUUGAGUAGUAAUCCUAAGGGAGUUAUAUAUAUGAGUUAUGAUCUCCAUUUGCAGGAAGACGAACAACAAGACUUAGUAGGUAUUAUCUCUUCAUCCCAUCAAAAGAGAAUCAAGAAACCCUAAGGCACUAUACAAAUCGAAAGAUCACAUAUCCCGCAAACCUUUAACUAUUCCAAUGAGAAACUCAUAUACACCACUUUCAUUCUUAUAUUGUAUUCAGGUACAGAUUCUAAGGAUAUAUAAGCUUAAAAAGAUUAUAUCAAAAUUCAGUUUUUCAUUUCUAUAUGGACAAGGAUACAUUUGGUAAUUUGGGAAUUAAUAGAUUUAACAAUUUUACCUAAGAAUCACUUGUAAAAAGAGAAGACAGCCUUCUCUUCUUGAUGCUCGUUGUACCACCAUAUUAAAAUAAAGUAUGGGUAUAUUCAAUAUUGUUUUAGAUUUUGAUCUUUCUUUUAUUCAUAAAAUUGAUGUAAAUAUGUCCACCAUUAAUUACUUAUAACCAUACUAUGCAAGCCAAACUAUGUAUGAUCCAACGUAGUCUCUCAGUACACACCACAAUAAUCACUCAAAUCUAUAGUUGAGCAUUUAAAGCAUGACAUGAGGGGUCAUAAAAUUGUUCAAGAGUUGCACUAGGUUUUUUUUAAACGUUCAAUCAUGCAUAAUUUUUAGCAUUAAACAAAGCAAUUUGGAAAAUUAAAUUGAAAUAUGCAUAUAAUAAAGGAGGUAGAAAAAACAUUUUUUAAAAUUUUUUUUUUCAUGAUCUUUAAAAGAGUGUUGAAUAUAAGCAUUCAAUAGUUUGUCAAUAUGUUAAUUUUGCAAUUUUUUUUACAAAAUCACUUUCAAAUAUAAAAAUUGAACAAUGGGUUGAUAUUCAUCAUCUUUGACAUGUUUGUUUGAUUGACCCCAAAAAAUAAAUAUAUUAUAUAAUUUUUUUAAAGGAUAUUAUAUUUUAUUUUUUAACUAAAAUUCUUUUUUAUUAAAUAUUUUUAUUAAUAUAUAUAUAUAUAUAUAUAUAUNUAUAUAUAUAAAAGAGGGAAUAUCAUGAAUAUAGUUCUUAGUGAAAAUGCAUACUUUUAAAUUUUUAGUUAAAUGGUCUAAUAAUUUAAAUUUCACUUUUUAAAGUCAAUAAAUUGAAUGUGGUGGGUUUAAACUCAUACAAAUUUCUUAGUCUUUUAACUUCCAUUAAUAUGAGAUCUAGUAUUAGUUUUAUUGUGAUGGUUUACUUAAAGGCUAAAAGUAGUGGUAUAGUGGUGAUUUUGCAUCAUUGCCUCAACUAAGUAGCAGUCUUGCAUUUGCACUUGUUCCAAAAUAUUUUCUUGACAUACAAAAGGGGCCCAAGAAGAGGUCCCUAUAGUCCCUACAUGACCGUACCAUAUUCACAAACAAGCACAAAUGAAUGAAAACUUCACGUGUCACAUGGACCAACAAAGACUCUACCAUUGUCUUCUAUUUCCCUUCAAUGUAUUAAUACAAUCUCUCAAUGGAAGGAAUACAGUAUGUUCACACAUCAAUCACUUCUACCACUAAUCCUUCACCUCAAUAUACUUGAGGCAGAGACACGGGCAUGGUUUUAGUUUGCAGUCGGCAACAUUAAACAUUGAGACUUCUGAGACGAUAUUACAGCUAUAAUUUUGACCGAAUAACAAAAAUAUAUGAUAUAUUUCCAUUAUAUUGAUUCAUAUCAUAGAAAUUCGACAAAAAAUUAUAUUAACUUUCGAAUAUCUAACACAAUCUUUUCAGUUUAUUUAGACUCGAGAUCAGAUAUACAUAGUAAAACUAACAUAGGCAGGAUUCAUACAUUAGAAAAACAACUACAUUUUUAAGUCUAAAUUUGGAAAAAUAUAAGUUACUUAAAUAGGUUAAUGACCAAAAAAAAUAUUUGAAAACAUGUGAGUCCUUGAUGAAAUGAUGAAAAUAUGGGUUUGUGGAAUCAACUAUUUGGAAAAGUGAGAUUUGUAAAAUCUCUCUUUGUUGUCCCUUUUCCUUUUCAUCUUACUAUAAGUAUGAUAGCUUCUACUUCUCUCUUUUAAGCCCAAUAAAUCCUCUCCUACUACACCAUGCUUCACUUUAACCUUCUUCACCCUUUAACUACCAACCUAUCAUCCAUGAAAAAAUUGAGAUAUCCAUGUUUCAACCUUGUUAGAGAAUACAACAUUUUGUUCAUAAAAUGCUUCAUGAUUUUACUCAUAAGCUGUAUUACUAUAAGACUUAAUUUCUCUCUUUCAAGUAUCCAUUUUUCUUUAAAAUCACUUCCUAUAGAAGGAAACUUUAGCUUUGAUGAACUUGACCUUAAAAAUGCAGCUAGAGAUUUCGGUAACCGGUACCAAUCUCAUCCUAUGACAGUGCUUCAUCCAAAAUCAGUUUCUGAUAUUGCAGUUACCGUAAAGCAUGUAUGGAGUUUAGGUCCUAGCUCGGAGUUAACGGUUGCGGCUAGAGGACAUGGUCAUUCGCUUCAAGGUCAAGCUCAAGCUCAUGGAGGAAUUGUGAUUAAUAUGGAAUCGCUUAAAGUUGAAGGGAUUAAGGUGUAUGAUGGAGAGUUUCCUUAUGUGGAUGUUUCAGGAGGUGAUUUGUGGAUAAAUGUUUUGAAUGAGACAUUGAAGUAUGGUUUGGCACCAAGAUCUUGGACAGAUUAUUUGCAUUUGACAGUUGGUGGUACUUUGUCGAAUGCUGGUGUUAGUGGUCAGGCUUUUAGACAUGGUCCACAGAUCAGUAAUGUUCUGAAAAUGGAGAUUGUCACAGGUUGGUAACUCUUAUGAGAAUGAGAAAAAAAACAUUCUAAAUAGAGAACCUAAUAUUUUGUCUCUUAUCACGAACACUUGACACUGGUACACGCGUACACCUAAAACAAGACUGACACCAGACACAACACUGAGAUACACGAAAAUCUGAAUCAACACUAACACCCGAUACAACACUGGUACACACGAACAUUUGACACAACACUGACACCAGACAUAAUAUGACACGCGCGAACAUCUGACAUAACACUGACACCAGACACAAUAUUGACAAACGCGAACACCUACAUACCAUUGACAUAAGACACAACACUUACACCAGACAUAACACAGCACCUGCGAACACCUGACACACGACACACACCACUGACAUCAUACACAGCACUGACACACGCGAACAUCUGACACAUCAUUGACAUAGACAUAACUGACAUGUUCACAUUGAUAAUAGUUUGAGAAAAUAGAAUGAAUAAAUGUAACCGUGUGUCAGUAUUGCGACAUGGUUAACAAUGAUAACUCUACAAUCUUAAGUUUAAAUUGAACUUGCAUGGUGAUUCUGAGUAUUACAUAGAAUCACAGUCAAAUGCAACUGAUGCCGUCGCAAUGCAUCAAAAAGAAUAAAAUUUUUGUUUAUGUUUACGAAGUUAUAUAAGAAAGUAUCAACAAAUAAUAUGGCUGAAAAUAAGUUUUUUGUUAAAUUAUUGAAAAAAGUUUAUUGGUGAAUGAAUGCAGGAACUGGAGAGGUAGUAAACUGUUCUGAAAAGCAAAACAAUGAACUCUUUUACAGUGUACUUGGAGGCUUAGGACAGUUUGGCAUUAUAACAAAAGCAAGAAUCAAGCUGGAGCCAGCACCUGUCAUGGUAAUAACUCAUCCUAUAAGUGAUUUUACAAGUUUCAUAAGUGAUUUUGCAAGUUUCAAAAUUCUCAUGAUAAGUUUUUUUUUGUUUCUAUGAUUUUGAACAGGUUAAGUGGAUUAGAGUGCUAUAUUCAGAUUUCACAGCAUUCACAAGAGACCAAGAGCAACUAAUCUUUGCUGAAAAAGCUUUUGAUUAUAUUGAAGGAUUUGUGAUUAAAAACAGAACUGGUUUGGUAAAUAACUGGAGAUUAUCUUUCAAUCCUCAAGAUCCAGUUCAAGCUAGCAAGUUCAAAUCAGAUGGAAGAACUCUUUUCUGCCUUGAAUUGGCCAAAUACUUCAAUCUAGAAGAAUCUUCGGAAGUAAAUCAGGUUAGAAAGCUCGGCUCGGAAUGACUUAUUUAAACUUAUUUAUUAAUAUCAGUACUUGUGAGAGACUAUUUAAAAAAAGAUUAUAGAAACAGCUUAUAACAUACCAUAAGUUACUUUCGGCUUAUUUUUAUAAACUCUGCAUGAUAUUUAUGAAAACAGCUUAUAACUUAUAAAACAUUUCAAUUUUAGUUUAUUAUUAUAAUAGAAAUAACUUAUAUAUAAGUACUUAUUUAAGCACUAAUGGUUAGAGAACGAGUCUAACUAACCUCAAUUUAAGCACUUUUUAAAAAUAAACUUAUAUGUCAAUUAUUUUUUACACAAAAAUAAUUUAAAAACAAAUUAAACUAUUUUUCACUAAUCAUUAUGUCCCUUUUUUUUUAAUGCAGGAAGUUGAGAAACACUUGUCCCACUUGAACUAUAUUCAAUCAACACUUUUUCAAACAGAAGUCACAUAUAUUGACUUUUUAGACAGAGUACAUAUCUCAGAAGCUAAAUUGCGUUCAAAAGGCUUAUGGGAUGUUCCUCAUCCAUGGCUCAAUCUUUUCAUACCCAAAUCCAAAAUCCAUAAUUUUGCAGAUACAGUCUUUGGCAAUAUUGUCAAAGAAACAAGCAACGGUCCUAUCCUUAUCUACCCGGUCAAUAAAUCAAAGUAAGGUUCACAUAAUUUCUUACGAAUAAAAAAUUAUUAAAUAAUUGAUGUAUCUGAUCUAAUAUAUAUAUAGAGAGGCUGAAUGCAUAAUAGACCAGAUUCAUUGAAAAACUUGACGUAUCUGAUCUAAAAUACAUCAGUUAUUUAAUAAACACAGAAAGAAUAUCAAUUAUCAAUCGACUAUAUGAGUUAGAUGAUUAAAAAUAUUUGAUGGUUUUCAGGUGGGACGAGAGAACAUCAGUUGUUAUUCCGGAUGAAGAUAUUUUCUAUUUAGUGGCAUUUUUAGCAUCUGCAAUUCCUUCAUCAAAUGGAGGAGAAGGGCUUGAACACAUUCUAAGUCAGAACAAAAGAAUUUUGGAAUAUUGUGAAAGGGAAGAUCUUGGAGUAAAGCAAUAUUUGGCCCACUAUAGUACACAAGAAGAAUGGCAGACACAUUAUGGUCCAAAAUGGGAGAUUUUCAAGCAAAGAAAAUCUAUUUAUGAUCCAUUGGCAAUACUUGCUCCUGGCCAAGGAAUAUUUCAAAAAUCAAUAACUUUUUCAUCAUGAUAAUCAAAUUUUAUAUUAUUUUAUUUAUAUGGAAAAGAAUAGGCCUCACAGUAUGUGUGGCACUAAGGCAGGAGAGUCAAGUCAACUGAGGUGGACAAAUGUUUUUUGAAUAUGAAUUUUAAUUUAUUGUAGGGUUUUCAAGAAUAUACCUAUUGUAUAUAUUCAAUUUUGUAAACAGUCCUUUAUUGGAUUUCUUUAUUGUAUUGUAGCCAUUUCAAGAGAAAAAAAGUCUUAUGCACUAAUUUCAACUAUUUAUUUAUUUAUUUACUUUUUUUUAUUAAACUUAAAUAUUAGUAAAAAUCAAUAAAGUAUUGUCGUUACCGGAAUUUUACGAUAAUGAAAUCGGGAACUGAAAGUGAGUUUCUCGCAAAAAAAAGGCAAAACACAGAAUCGUCACCGAAUUUUAUUUAUUCCUAUAAAAAGAAAAUGGAAAAUAGUCGAUAAAACCCUCGAAAAAAGAGAUUCACACAAGAAGUGCAAUAGGGAUAAAGAAUCGGUCUCGCAACCGAGAUUUAGAUUCGGAAGUCGGUUACGCAAGGGGAAGGUGUUAGUACUCUUCACGUCCAUGGUACUCCAUGGGAACCAUUUGAGUUGUUUACGUAUGUGGGUAUUUAUCUCGUUUAUUCUUAUUUGAUUUUUAAAAGAGUGUGAAAAGAUUCAAAAUAUGGCGAAUCAUGGGAUAAUUUAUCAUUGAUGCAAAGUAUUGAACAUGAUCAAUAAUCAUCUAACAAUAGAUUUGUAACGAUGAAAGUUAUACAACCUCAAGUCCAUCUAUCAAUAGUUUGACAAAUAGAAGAUUAUAUCACUCAAAUGAUUGUAAGCUUUUUCUAUUUUUUUAUUAUACAAGGUGGUAUGAAAACCAAUAAAUUGGCCCAAUGUAAAUAAUAUAUGAAUGGAUGACAAUGGACAUAAAUAUAAAGUGUUUGAAAUAAAAUGAACAAUAAAAUAAAAUGUGAGAAAAUAAAUAGAAAAGAAAUAAAGUGCAAUAAUAUAAAUGUUAGAACUUAGUAGUUAAUGGAAUCAAAACAAGCAAAUGGAUUAGCAAGUUAGUAUACAUAAACAUGAUUUUAUUUAUGCAUCAAAUGACUCAAGUAUGGUUGAAAUAGAGGCAACAUAUCAAUGCAUCAAAGUAUCUUGAAUGAGUCACUGAUCAUUCAUUAAUAGGUUUGAAACAUUGAAAGUUUUAUCAACUCCAAAAACCAUGGUUAUGAUAUAAUAGAUUUCGUUAACCAACAUAAAUAUAACAAGAAAUCAACAAAGAACAUCAAAUGAUAUAGUUAGAUUAAAAAUAGUAAAUAACAAGUAGUAAUCGUAAAAAAUCCCAAAAAAAGGUGUGUGAACCAAAUAAAACCAUUUGUCUCAAACUUGACUCAAAUCUCUCUGAAAAACCAACCAAGAACACAUAACCAUUUUCAAUACAAAACAGUGCCAAAAAUGCUAAAGAGUUUGAGGUAUAAUCAUUAUCCAAAAAUGUUUUUAAAAAACUAGGUUGUUGUGGUGUUGAGCUUGAAUAUGAAGCAAGAGGUUUGGGAUGGAGGUGAUUAUGGUUGAAACUCAAUGAAGGGGUUGAGUUGUGAAUGUUAGAGAAUGGAAGAUUUUGAGGAAAAUAUGAAAUGAGGAAAAAAGUUGGUGGAAAGUGAUUUGAGAGGGAAUGAUUUGUUUGAGUUUAGGUUUAAGGAGAGGGUUUGAUUGAUGUUUUGAUAGAAUUUUGGGGGCUGCUAGCUUAUCCAAAUGAGGGGGAAAUAAUCCCCUAUUUAUAGGGAAAACAAGUUAGUAGGUGGAUGAAAAAGGGGAAUUAUUUUGAGUAAAAAAAGAGUUAUUGUUGUUGUCUGCGUAGUGUAAUCGGUUACACAAACCAAAAAUUACUCAUGGAACCUGUGUUAACAGGGGUGUAACCGGUUAUACAAAAUUUGGGUAACCGGUUACACAGACUAAAAAAUGGAUUUUUUUAUUUGUUGCAUAUUUACCUUUGAAGCUUUAUCCAGAAAAAACCUUAAUUUUCCUCAGGUGUGAAUACCAUGCCUUGAGUCCGUGUAAUAUUCCUUUGGUGAUGAAUGUUCAAUGAAAUUAUGAUGAUGAAAUAAUGAAUGCAUAUAUAAGUAGUAGGGUCAUGGAUCAGAUAAAGGUUGUAUACGCUAGGAUAAAUUUUGGGGUAUGACAGUUGCCCAUAUUUAAUCUUCUCGGAGUAAAUGUAUGGAUAGCAAUGUCUUCCAAUGCGUUUAUGGAAUGAGGGGAUUAAAUACUAAAAAGAGUAACCGUAAAUUUGCCCUAUUGGGAGGUGAAAGUAAUAUAGGUUGGUUUGCUGGAGAUUAUAUAUGGGAAAGUUUUUUACAGGAUGGCAGAUGAUCAUGUUAUGAGCUCAUCUGUUAGGGGAGAUGAAUAUGGUAUUACAUGUGCUUUAUUAGGGAGAUAUGGUUAUGAUAAUUAUGUAUGGUAUGCAAUGCAAAUGAAUUUUAUGCAACAUAAGUAUCUUCUCAAAAAGUAAAGUUGGAUGACAAGACUCUAAGAUGAAUGGUACGGGAGAAACUCCAUGGAGGGUAAGAAUCAUAUAAAAAAAAGGUAAUUGUCCCUAGCAACGGCUGGGGAGGAAAAAAAUUCAAAAAAUGACUCAUAUCAAUGGUUAGAAUACUUGACUCUGAUGGGGAAAUUUAGAUCAAGUGAUGAUUCUUGGCAACGGCUGGAAUACCUGACAUCUACUGGGGAUACCUUCAGGUUCAGUGACGAUUCCUAUCAACGGCCGGAAUACCUAACUCUGUAGGGAUAAUCUCUGGGUUCAAUGAUGAUUCCUAGCAACGGAUGGAAUACCUGACUCUACUGGAGAGAAUGAAGAGGUACGAUGACGAUUCUUAGAAACGGCUAGAAUACCCGACUCUGAGGGGAAGAAGAAAUCCAGCGACGAUUCCUAGCAACGGCUAGAAUACCUAACUUCUGUUGGGGAUGAAUGAAAAUUCAAUGAUGAUUUUUAGCAACGGCUAGAAUACCUGACUCGUGUUGGGGAAAGAAAAAGUUUAGCGAUGAUUCUUAGCAACAGCUAGAAUACCUGACUCUUCUAGGGAGAUCGAGCAGUUCAGUGACGAUUCCUUAUAAAGAUCGGAAUACCUGACUCUGCCUGAGAAUAAAUGAAAGUUCAGUGAAGAUUUUUUGUAACGACUAUAAUACCUGACUCUCGAGAGGAAACAAAGCAGUUCAGUGAAGAUUCGUAACAAACAGAUGGAAUACCUGACUUUACUUGGGAGAAUAUGAAUAUGACGUUUUCUGGAAAUGGCUAGAAUGUCCGAUUUGCAGGGGACCCAAAACAGUUUAGUGAUGAUUCCUAGAAAUGGCUGGAAUACCUGAAUCUGCUUGGGGAGGAAUCCUAGCAACGGUCGGGAUGUUCCAAAAUCUAAAAAGGACAAUCCUAGCAACGGCUGAGAAAGUCAGAAACUUGAUGAAUUGUUCUUGAGUAAGAGGAUACUUAUUUUAAGACCCCAAUUUUUACCCUAAGAUCCCUCAUGCUAUCUCAUCAUAUGCAUUGGCAUUGGGAUCACAUAUUAGCAUUCUCCUUACCCCUCAUUCAUUGGGUUCGCAUUGGGAGAAAUCACCAAGCAUCAUGUGAUUGUAUCAUACUUUGUAUUUUAUCAUUUUUACUAACCAAAAUACCAAAAAUAUGUCUUUGCAUUUUGUCUAACUCUUUUGUAGAUAAUGCACAUGCUCACCUUUGAUCUAUCAAGCUCAUAUCUAGGGUUUAAGAACCCCAUUGCAAGGAGCUCAAUCAAGAAUUGGUCUACUAUGGCUCUAGACAUCAUAUAUGGAUCUCCAUGAGCUUCACAUGUUAUUUGGAUCAAGAGUUCAUCAAGAGUUUGGAAUUGGUUUGCCUUGAAACCCCAAGUUCAUCUAGGUAUCUUGUGUAACUUCUUCAACAAGCUUCUUUAACAAUUGAUCAAAUAUUUGAAGGGAUGAUUCAACCUUAAUUAUAUUAUGCAUAUAUGAUCUUCCAUGAGUCCCAAAAGUCAAGAUAAUUGCAAGCUAGCAAGUUGGUUCAUGGUGGUUGACCAGAGGAAUUCAUCUAAUCAAAACUGAGGUUCCCUAGACCCUAUCUCCUACAAGAUUUGUCAUAUGAAAAUUAUUACAAUAGUACCAUUAUGCUAAAUUACAUUCCAAACAACUUUCAUGUUGAGGUCUAGAGUUAGUUUUGCUUGGAAAGUAAUUUUUCAUGGUGAAAGAUUAUAGGUCAUUUUGUCUAAACCCUAAUUUAGAGGUCAACUUACCAAGACCAUAACUUGCUCAAUUUUUAUGAGAUUAAAGAUUUCCAGGUUGAACAAUAAAAUUCAAGAUGUAUACUUCAAAUUUUAUGUUUGGAGGAAGAGCUAAUUCAACUUUUAUAUGCAUGUGAUAUGAGGAUACAUUAUAGGUCAUUUUGGACCAAUGCCAUUGAACAAGUGAUUUUCCUCAACUUCAAAAAUGCAUAACUCCUUCAUAUUAAAUCUAAAUAAGGUCAAAUUUGUUGCCAUUUUGAAGUACUUUGAGAUAGAUACAACUUUUAUGAAGGAACGUUUUUCAUUGGAAGCUCACAUAAAAAGUUAGCCAAGGUGGAAUAAGUGAACAUAUGGCUUGACACUUAGAAUUUUUUUUGACAUGUUUGAUUUUCCCAACUUCCACCUUAAAAUUCAUUAUGAUCCAAGCUUCAAAUGAAAAAAUUUCCAACAUGAAAAUUGUUCUUCUUGAUCUAACCUUUCCAAAAUGUCCAAUUUCAUCCAUUUGGACAAGAUUUGAAUGGGUUGCGCAUGACUUGAACAUUGGAUCAUCAUUUGGCAAGAUUGAACUUGAAACUUCCAUACACCAUUACCUAGCAUUCCAACAUGAUCUCAGCAUUGCUUGUACUCAAUUAUGGAUCAUAAGAAGUGAUUUCAUGGGUCUGUACACGCCAUGCACCCAUGCAGUGUACAUUUCUAUUUUUGGAUUUCAUUUCAAGUGUGCAAAUAUCAAUGAAUUUGGCUAUAAAUAGAAGCUCUAUGCAUCAGAAAUAAGGACCAUACGCGCCAGCUUUGAAUCCAUACCUUCAAACCCUCUCAUUUCAAAGGAUAACCUUGAUAAUUUCCAUUAGAAAUUGAGUUUGAAUCUCACUGUUUUGAGAUUCGAAACUCCAAGAGUCCUGAGCUUUUCAUCCAUUCAACUAUACUCCUUCAAGUGUCCUGAACAAGAUCAAGAACAAGCAAGAGCAAGAUCAAUCGAGCACAGACCUGCAUUGAAGGUAUUUUCCAUAAAUUUUCAUCUCUUCGAUUCUUACUCAAUUCUCCACAAUUCUCUUGGAUAUUUGGUUGUCUGAAGUUCUACCAAUAUAGGCAACAAGAUUGAGUUGCUUUGAGGUCAAAUCGAAGCAACUCAGAUCGUGCGCCUCAAAUUUCAACUCUUUGUAUCUCUCAAUAUACUUGAAGUUAGGAUAAAUUGAGGCCAGAUUCGAGCUCAGAGGCAUUUUUACUUUAAAUUCAUGUCCUUAUUUUUAAUUUUGGUGAUGGUUGUGAGUGAACCAGUCCAGUGAAGCUCACCGGAGAAGGAGACCAGAGCUUUGGCUCCGGUGAUGUGUUGACACUCAUUAGAACCACAUGAUCCAUUUGAAAUGAACUAAUCUCGCGCGUUGAAACUGAUUACCACUUGUGUUGCGCGCUGACUCAUGACCAUGGUGGAAUGCACGCUAGCAGGCACUUGAUCUGCCACCUCAAUUAAUGAGGGAGAUCAAGUGGUCCACGUUUUUUCUGAUUUUUUUAUUUUCAUUUUAUUUGGUUUAUUUUCAUUAAUUCAUAUUAAUUUUAAUAUUGAUCCAAAAAAUAUGAGAGUUUCACCAAAAAAUUUAAACAAAUUCCUCUUUCAUUUUCUGAAUUAAAAUUAGUUUUUGGAUCAUUAUUAAUAUUUUUCAUGAUUUAAUUGAUUUUGUGAAUAUUUUUAAUUGUUUAAAAAUACUUUUAAGUUUCCAAAAAUUAUGAAUUUUUUUCUCCAAGGUCCUUUGACCUUGUUUGAAUUAAUAUUUUUCAUGAUUUAAUUGAUUUUGUGAAUAUUUUUAAUUGUUUAAAAAUACUUUUAAGUUUCCAAAAAUUAUGAAUUUUUUUCUCCAAGGUCCUUUGACCUUGUUUGACCUAUGAUAAAUAUCAUGGCCAUUUCUUUGGUGUUUUGAUGAGGUUUUAGGAAUUUGACCAACCAUAAUUUAAUUUAAUGUAUUAUUUAAUUGAUUUUAAUUGUUUAAAUGCAAAAUAAAUUGUGUUGAGCUUCUAAUUUUGACUUGUUGAGUUUAACUUAUGUUGUUGGGCCUUGGUCAAGGUUGAUUUGACUUUGUUGAGUUAAAAUCAUUGGAUCUAGGGAAUGAUGAAAUGUACAUUUCAUCUCCCAAAAUGAAUGAAUGAUUUAAUUUGAUAAAGUCCUCCUUUGACUAAUUUGUGUUGAUUUCAUUUCCCCUCCCUCUUCAUCUCAAUCCCAAUCUCUUCUCAUUCAUUUCAGGAACCUAUGAUAUCUCUAUAUCCUAAGGCUAGUUGAUUGCAAAAUCAACAUGAGUAUGGAUGAGAUUAGGUCCAUCCUUUUUCAUAUUCUUUUUAAGUGUGGUAUAUUUUAGGAGCAUGGUUCAUAAUACCAUGUCUCUAACAUGCAUUAACACUAAAAUUUCUAUAGCGCUAAAUUUGUGACACAAAAAGGCAUAGCAUUCUAGUAAGUGAGAUUGUAAGUCUCUCCUUUGUCAUGGUAUUGUGUGGAAACUUGGCAUUUUUUCCUUCCUUUAGAAGAUGUCUUUGUUCAAGGAUCCAUGCUUGUGACAAGUGGGUUGAGUGUUAUCCAAAGAAUGAUUUAAACAAAACAAAAGCAAAAUCAAUACUAACUUCUAAUCAACUAACUAACAUUUAAUUUUAAGCCAUUUACUUUUAUGCACUUUAAUUUCAAGUCUUAUUUCAUUUGCCAUUAUUCAUACCAUUCAAUUUGUUUACUUUAAUAUCAUUUUCACUUCGCUCAUUUGAGCCAUAUCUUGUGAUUAUUUUGUGAUUGUAUAUACUUGUUUGUGUUUGUGGUCUUUUGACCUUAAUGUACAUAAUAACAACAAAAACCCUAAAAGACAUUUUGUGUGGACUGUUGGUUUGCUCUGAGACAUUGGACUUAGAAUUAGGGAACACUCCCUAUGCAAAGGACUUGGACAAUGCCAACUUUCAUGAAAACAAGUGCUUGUGAAGUGAAUUUUCAUCUGAUGCAAAUAUUGAAGAUCCAUUUGAGUUCAUCUGCAACAUGGUCUUAUUGAAGCUGUUACUUUGAACCUGUGUCUAAUGCUUAUCUCUUGAAUUCAUCUGAUACAUGGGAGUUUAUGAAGAAGAUCAUGAAGUUGCUGAGCUUGGAUGUGGAUAUCUUUAUUUGAUGAUUUGCUCUUCAUCUUGCUAUGUGUGUAUUGCUAUUGCUUGAUUCUAAAGUCCAAGGGAAAUUUGGGUUUCUAUAUGACAUUCUUGUCUCUUGGAUUACAGCCCAUUGUCAGAUCUUUUCAACUCUUAACUUUUAAUUUUUCUUAGGAUUAGUCUCUUCAUCUCCUCCCCGCUUCUUUAACUUCAAAUCUCUCCCUCUUUUUAAAAUCUUCUUUGCUUGUGUUUGUUUUCAAAACUUAGACCCUUUUGUAAAGUAGAAACUUUGGCCUUAUGCCAUUGCAUUUUUAAACUCUUUUCUUAAUCAAACUUGUAAAUGAACUUAACUAUGCUUGACUUAAAAUUUCAAAAGCCAAAAAGAACUAACAUUCAUUCAAACUCUUGUAGGCCUUUUGUGCCUUUGUUAAACUUAAAUUUUUGUUAAAAUCAAUGCAUCCACUUUGAAAUUGAUACCACGAACUACGAGGUUUUGAUCCCUCAUUUUAUGUUGGUACGUAGGCACAAGUCCGAAGGUCUUGUCAAACACAAAAAUAUAAUUAAUAAAUUCUUUUCUCAUCCCUCCACUCUAUUUAUUGCAAAUCCCUCAUUUUAUGUUGGUACGUAGGCACAAGUCCGAAGGUCUUGUCAAACACAAAAAUAUAAUUAAUAAAUUCUUUUCUCAUCCCUCCACUCUAUUUAUUGCAAACAUCAUUUUGUACAAAAACACAUAUGCACACAAAAAAAGGCUCCCUAGAAGUACCUAGGACACUUUGGGUGCUAACACCUUCCCUCUAUGUAAUCAACCCCCUUACCUGUAAUCUCUGGCAUUUUAUUAGUUUUGAUUUGAAAACUUCUUAUCUUUGGGUUUGGUUCGUACUUUUCCCUUGGAAACAAUAAAAGCGCGGUGGCGACUCUGGUUUAAUUGACGUCUAGCUUAUCCAUAGCUUGAUGGUCAUGAAUUUACCGCUACAGGAAAUUAAGUGGCGACUCUGCUGGGGAGUAGUCCUCAGUGGGUUUGGCCUAAUUUUUUGUGUGUAUAUAAUUGUAUAUUUGGUGUAUGUAUAUUUGUUUGUGUGAUAUAAUCUGCUUGUUGUGCUUGGUAAUCUCUGAGUGGUGAGAUAAGUUCUAACCCGAACUUGAGUGAAAUUAAGAUAGGAGGAUGGUAUAGUCAUGUUCGACUUGUGUGGAGUAGUCCUUAACAAGUUGGCUUGAGACCCAUCUACUCAGUGGAGACCCUUUUGGAGUUAUGAAUGUCACACAAGUUAUUUGUGGUUAGGCAUUACUUUCUCUGAUUUGGGGUCUGAGAAGCUGAGGACCGUAGAACAUCUAACCUCUCUUGGCCUAUUUAGGACGUAGUGCGGAUACUAUUCAAGUGUAGACUUGAUAACAGUUGUUACGCGAUACUACACUCAAACGAGUUUCUCUUGAGAAUAUUAUGGGUUGAUGAGUCAGUCAUCCUAACCUGUAAUAUCUGACAGGUGGAAUUAAUACUCUGGGAACUUUUUAGAACAUGAUCUACAUGUUUUUAUCCUUAGUUCACUCCUUUGGGAUGGUUCUUACCCAGACUCCAUGCUCGUGACUCACAACAAACCCUUGAUUUUUGGUUUAUCCAACCAAGUCUUGUCAAUAUCAAUGGAACUUGGGUGUUGAAAAGGUGAAAGCCAUAAUCCACCAAAAUGGAUGAUUGAUCUUGAUAAUGACUUUAUUCAUCCUUUAACCUUUGUGUGUUUUCCUUGUGUGUGAUCCCUUAUUUGUGAUUGUUGCAUUCAUGCAUUCAUAACAUUCAUCACGCGAAAAUUUCAAGGAACUGAGGUCUUAUUUGCAAAUAUUUUUCAGACCAUGGAUUGUGGACGAAGGAACACUAAGAAGUAUAGUUCCAGGUGUCCAGAUUUGAAAGAGUUAAGGAAGCUAUCAUCUUUUGUAUUAGAUCCCUUGGACU
rnacentral:lncRNA from 1 species